UUGCAAUUCAGUAGCUAAGGCAAGCUAUGGGAUCAUGUGCUUAAGAGAGGAGAAAGAGGAAGCAGAGCACAGACACCAGAAUCACACUGCCUGGUUCAAAUCCUGGCUUUGCCACCUACUUGAAUAAUGUCUCUGUGCCUCUAUUUCCUCAUCUGUAAAAGAAGGAUGGAAAUACCUACCACAUAAAGUUGUUAUAAGGACACACACACACACACACACACACACACACACACACACAACAGUGCCUAGCAUGUCUCAAGGACUGUGAAUGCUCUGGAAUUUUUACCCUACUUGCAAGCUCUCAAGUUAGCCUGACAUCUUUCAUAGAAGCUGGUAGAUGACACACGACCCCUGGUCAGAAGCAAAGGACUUUAUUACAGCAACAGCUGUAGCAGUAGCAUCAGUAUUUGUGCCAGCUCCCUGAGCUCAGCUGCCAUGGAGUGACACAAAGACAUCACCGGCAAAUACAGUGGGCUGCUUUACAGGAGGAGAACCCUGAGCUUAGGGAACCCAAAUCUUUUAUAAUGGGCAGUAAGCAUGCCUGUUCUUUGUUCCAGGAGAAGAUACUAUCUCUGUCUUCCAAGGCUGUUUGCUAAAAAGUAUCUUUGAAAAGAUAACCUACAACAAAAAGUCAGUGUUCCUGCUCAGGAGAUGUGCGGAAAUAUGAGAGAACCAUGGAGAAUUGCCUGUCAAGAGCAUGUGGUAUGGAAGCUAAUCUUUGAAGACACACGUAAUCAGCAAGAUGGUGAUUGUUGAAGGACGAGUGUGGCCUGAUGUGCUAAUUUCUAGGUUGAAAAGGAACAUCAUUUUUGCAACAAUGAAAUUGUGAUCUGCCCUUCCCCCAACUCCUCCUCCCUUCUCAUUUAGGUAAGUACUAAAAUAAACAGGAAAGGGGAACUGUGUCUCUUACCCCUGUGUGAGUGGCCCAAUGAAUUGA
rnacentral:lncRNA from 1 species